UUCCUCUUCCUGCCGGCCUCACCCGAUCUCACGCCUCACCCCUACAGCAGUAGUCUGGUCCACUGACUUCAGUCCGAUCCAGGGUAAAAGAAGGAAUGCAUGAUGCCCAUGGGGGUCAACACAGUUCAAGGCACAAUCACUGGGGCUUCUGCCCAGGCUCCCUCACUGGGAUGGCAGUGGGGCAGAUUUCGGCCAGGAACAUUCCAGUACAAAAGUCAUUGAAGAUCUCUGCAAUCAUGCCCCAGUGAGUUCACCAGACACUCAAUCCAUGAAAGAAUGAGGCCUGGAGUCCUGGGAUUGAUCCUAGUUCUGCAACUUAAUCGCUGUGAGACUUUGAACGAGGGAUUCAAUCUCUUUGACCUCGGUUUUCUCAUUCACAGGAGAAGGAAUGUAAGUCGCUUCUUCUGCCUUAUCUCCUGACAUUUGCCCCAAGAGCUCCUGCGUACACAUCCCAGGAAGACACUCCCCUUCCUCCAAAUGCCUCAUUCUCGCUGGCUUGCAACACUCCUGGGCCUCACUCCUACUGAUCCCCCUGCCUGGAAAGCCUUGACCCAGUAAGGCCCCACUUAGUCUUCAAGACGUUACUAAGAUAUCACCUCCCCUGGAAAGACUUCCUAGACUACAGCACAGUGUCCCAUGCCCGCACAGUUAGCAGCUGUGUCUUCUGAUGCUGGGGCAUGACAUAUUGCACCUGCCAGAGAAAAGAUCAGUCUCAACUGUGAUCAUCUCUUUGUGUGUCCCUUCAUGAUUGGAUCACAAGCUCUUCAAAAGAAAGGACUUUCUUCUGAGUCAUCUCUACAUCCCCGGGGCCCUCCAAGCACGCCUGCUCUCCACGUACGCAUGCACUGUGUUAACCACCAGGCACAUCUAGGUGAAUCAACAGUCAUGGCUCCACCCCCCUGGAGCUUACAGGCAGGUGGGGAAAACAGACCAAAACAAGAAAACAAUUAAUGAGCCAGCAACGAAAUACGGAUUUUGAAUCCUGAAACGUGUCGUGAAGAUGCAAAUGGUACCCUGGUAAAGACUAACUGGUGGAAGGGGAUUACUUGGGAGUCUCCUAAGAGGGCUCUCCAAAGAGAUGGCAUUUUAGCUGAAAUCUUCAGGCUGUGAAGGAGCCAUCCAGCUGAAGGGCUGGGGAGAGCUUUCCAGGAGGAGGACUCAGCACGUGCAGGUUCACAGGAUGGAAAGAGCUCAGCGUGCGUGAUGCUCUGGCAGGGGCCGAGGAAGCUCAAGUGCAGGGCCACAUACAUGGAGAGACGGCGAGAGAGGGGAUGCAGUGUGUGGAUUCAUGGGAGGUGCAGUGGGAAGGUGCUGACAUAACUGAAUCUGAUUUUAAAGGAUUACUCGGACUCUAGGCUCCUCCCUUGAAAACGGGGCUAAUACCACCUACCUUUCAGGGUUUUCAUAGAUGUGAGCCCUUCUUAAGAUAUUGGCCUCUACGCCAAGACUUCAAAGAUGGAAGAAGACAGCCUUGCGAAGACUGAGGUCAAGCUCGCAGUACUUGGCAGAUAAUAGGAACUCAAUCAGCAGGGUUUCGUUUGGUUGUUUCUCUUUAGUUGUUUUUGUUUGUUCGUUUGUUCAGCAAAUGAAUGUAUGAAUCACUUGAUAUUUACUCAAGGUCUGUUUUAUCAGGGGUGGUCUCUGCUUCUUGCUGGCAGCUAAAAGAGCCUGACCAUUCAGUGCUGAUUUUUUACAGAGGUAAACAGGUCACCUAUGGAAGUGGCCACCAGCCAAUCCUCACACCCUAGUUUGACUUUGCUUUGCCGAAGGAGGGGAUGAUGUGGGAGACCACCAUGCUAAGGGCCCUCUGAAAUAGCCAGAGAAGCAGCAUUGGCCCAUGGAAGGCAAGCUGAAGGCCAGCGAGGGAAGGUCAGAGUGGCCAGCACCAAAAGUGGUCCUUGAGUUACAGUGUCCUAACCGAAGUCUCAAGUUCAUUCCCCUACCCCAGCCUGAUGAGGGCAACUCCAAGGUUGAAGGAAGAGUGCCAUGGGGAGCCUUUGAAUGUACCAUGGGCCAAACUCAAGCUUCAGCAUCUUCACUAUUGCUAAAUUACCUGUUAGGGGGAGGUGUAUGUGCUCAGGAAGUGGAUGGAAAUUCACUCCUCUGGACUGCGAGCCUAGCACACAGCCCGUUCCCUCUGGCAGAAUAAGCAGGUAGCUGUGUUCCAGGCUGCAAAGGGCCAGAUGGCCGCUUUAAGGGCUUACACUUAAACUCAGGUAGUUCUCAAAGGGCCAGAAGACAUCAUCUGGCAUCCAAUUUCAAGCCUACCAGAGAAAAACCUCCUGGCCUAGAGAGGGGAAGUGACUAGCCGCUGCCCCAAGCACCCCCAAAACAGUUUGCUGAUUCUGGAAACAAACACACUACAAUUGCCUGGUGGUAAUUCCUAGAUAAAUGACCAAUGGAAAGGUA